AUGAGCAAAAAAAAUAUUUACAAAUGCCAUUCGCCUGCUUAUGCCGCAGCAGCUUGUGCCAUGACGCUGGGCUGCUCCCCUAGACCGGAGCCAGCCGGCCCCAGACCACAUGUGCUCCGCAGCGCCGCGGGAGGGCGCCACACUCUCCUCCCCAGGCCUGAAGGGAGCGAUCCAGCCAGCAAGGCCCAGACCCAGGCCCCGGCGCCGGCCAGGAGCUCAGGGCCGCACUCGCUCGGCGCCCGCCCUCCAAGCCAACGCCGAACCGGGGCUCGCACCAGGCUGAAGGGCAGCGCCGACCGCUCUGCCCCGACCCCGCCGGGCAGUGGCUCCUCAGGGGAAGGAAAGGUAAGGAGGGGCAGAGUGCCACACCGCUCCGUUUCCGGCGAAGGCCCGCGGCCGUCAGAGGCACUUCGCACAGAGAAGGGCAGGGGAGCCAGGCGCCAGCCCCGAGACAAAAUGGUUCCCCCCCUGCCCUGGCGCGGAGCCACCGGCACCGGCCCACACACAGGCGCAAGCUGGACUGUGUGGGGCCACCUUCCCCCCCCCCCCCCCCCCCCCCCCCCCCCCCCNCCGCAGCGCCAGCCCCCGUACUCACCCUCACGGCACAGCCCUCACGAUGCAGGCAUUCGGGAGCUGAGGAUCCACCGGAAGGGCCGAGUCGGGCCUGGCCCACAGGCUGCCACGCCGAGCCAGCGGCCUCUCCCUGCAACACAAUGGCGACAGAGCCGAGACUGCACGACUGUCGAUCACCACCCGCGCCCCGCCCAUGCCCAGCUCCCGCGAGAGCUGCGGGGGAGCGGCCUGGUGGCGGGGGCGCGGGCGUGGGGGCGCGCCGCGUGGUGCAGGGCGGCGCCGUGUCACGCUGUGUCACGCUGUGUGCUGUCGCGUCGUGUCGCCUGGCCUGGGCGGCCGAGCCGGGCGGCGGGAGCUCGUGGCUUUUCAUCAGAUGCAUAGUUAUUAUCCUGGGCUGAGAUAUUGGUGACAACGAUCCCUAAAACCCUCAGUGAGGCUUUCUGUGCUCACCGUCACCUGCCAUUACAUGCCAAGACCUGGCAGUUUGGACUGAUACAGCAUUUGGAAAGAAGUCCUGCAGUGUGGGGUAAGUCCACUCCCUGUAGAAGGCUAAUGCUUGUGAUGCUGACAGGAUUGCUUCUGAAUGAUGGAGGAAAAGGUGACAUAUGACAAGGGGAAAAAUUAACCACUAAUACAGUAAUUCACUUAUUGACAGUCUACUUAUUCCACGCAACUUCUCUUGCACAUCUCUUUCUGAAGUUUGUAAAAUUGUUCUGUGUUCUUUCCUUCCUCUAUGUUGUGUAUACAUAGCGACUGAUUUAGGAGUGCUCCAAAUACGAAGUGGGGUAGCUUUUUUAACAGUAUACUUGGCCAACUAUUUAUUUUAAAUUUUUGUCCACUUUUGCCAAAUAUAUGCUUUUUUCCACUGGUACUUCAUAAUGAGAAAAAGGAGUGUUCUGUUAGAGCCAACAACCCAAGACUCGUGAGAAACUAUCAUUAUUGUCAAAGUAAAAAGAACAAACAAAUAUGAGAAACUUGUGUCUUUAUCUUGUGGAAACAAAGCCGAUGGAAGAAACUACAGGAAUGAUGCAAAAAGUUGAAAAAAGGGUUGUAUUAUUUUGAGGAAAUUUCCUCCACUUCGUACUAAAAGUAUUUUAUUAAAAAAAUGUAUGUAUACCAGCAUUUUCUCCAGUCCUUGGCAAUAAAAAAAAUACUGAAAGCAAUAUAUACGCAUUCUUGGAGGAUUCUGUGGUCGACCAUCUGCAUCCAUUAAGGAUCCAGCCAAACAGCUCAUCCCAUGCUGCUGGAAGACAUGGGAAUGCCAGGAAUCAACUGUCACCUUCUUACCAUUUACUUACUUAAAAUGAAACCUUUCUGAAACUAUUAACCAUUGUGUGUUGCAAUUGUUUGCUUUGUUUAGAAGACAGCCAGAAGAAUCUUACACCCAAGUCAUGUACCAGAUUAGUUUUACAUACUGAGCCAGUCCGUUUGAGUACACUGUGUCAAAGUACAUCUCGGCAGGCUUCAGCUCCUGGUUAGAAGAUUAACUUCAAGUGAAAAUCAGAGUAAAUCUUAAAUGUUUAUUUGAAACAAAUUUUG
rnacentral:lncRNA from 1 species